rnacentral:rRNA from 2 species
UUCGGCAACUAUAGCACAGGUGUUACACCCGAUCCCAUCUCGAACUCGGCAGUUAAGCCCUGUAGCGCCAAUGGUACUACGCGGGAAACCAGCGUGGGAGAGUAGGUCGUUGCCGGGA